CAGCAGCCGCGGUAAUACGAAGGGUGCAAGCGUUAAUCGGAAUUACUGGGCGUAAAGCGUGCGUAGGCGGUUUGUUAAGUCUGCUGUGAAAUCCCCGGGCUCAACCUGGGAAUGGCAGUGGAUACUGGCAAGCUAGAGUGUGUCAGAGGAUGGUGGAAUUCCCGGCGUAGCGGUGAAAUGCGUAGAGAUCGGGAGGAACAUCAGUGGCGAAGGCGGCCAUCUGGGACAACACUGACGCUGAGGCACGAAAGCGUGGGGAGCAAACAGGAUUAGAGACCCGCGUAGUCCCUGUCUCUUAUAA
rnacentral:rRNA from 1 species